ACAUUACAUUCUCUAACUGUUCUUUUUGUAAUGUUCAUAUGUACAAUAAUUUAAUAGCUUUAUUACAUCUAGUUUAUUGCAUAUACAUGAACAGAAAAGCUAGGCUGUUAACUGUUGGCUUCUGUGAUUUCCUUUACCUUUUAUUUAUCUACUUUUUGUGAUAUUUUUUUAGCAAAGACACUAAAUUCAUAGUCUUUGUUAAAUCUGUUUUGAAUCUUGUCUUGUUUCUGUCUUUGUCGUUUGAUCUUUACUAUCUUUGACGUACGAUGCAUUUAAUUGAACUGUGUAGUAAUGUAUACCAAAAUGUGAAUCUCGUGCUAUCUAUAUUGCCAUUUUUUGGGGGGUAGAAGCAUUUAUUGGACUCAUAUGACACAAUUUCUGAUAUUUAUUUUUCGAGAUUUUGUGACAAAAGUCUAGGCAUUGAGAUGUAGCUAUUUUCCUACAUUCCAGCAAUUUUUGUGCAAUGGUUUUACAGUGUGUGUAUUGUAUUUUAUUAUUUCUUUUGUGUUCAUUUGUUACCUCACUUUUAUGAUAAUUUAGUCAAGAGGUGCCACUCUUUGAUAUUAUAUAAAGACACAAAAAGGUUGUAUAAAGUUAUGUCACGUGCUUAUUACUCAAACAUACAAAACUGAUAUAUUAUGAUUAUUUUUUUUUUGAAUUUUUUUUUUUUUUUCAAACCCUGUUCCUCCAUUUGUCGGGGUCUAGUUAAACUAAUCAAUUUUAUAGUCAUCACUUUUAUUUCAUGUUGCAGUUUCACAAGUCAAGGGAGAUUAUCAGCAAUAACUUAGAAGACUGCAGAUUAUUAAUUUUUAUAAUUUGUGAAUCAAAUCUUGUAUACUCUCAUGAAAUUUUGAAUAAGCAUUCUCCGUUUUCCAAGUAACUCUUAAAUGAGAUUUUAAUUAAUUUUGUAUACGUGACAGCCUUUUCCAUGUAGUAAAUCUACUGGUCCAUAUGAACUGCUGUGUAAUGUGUCUCAUUGUAGGAUCAUGAAUAUAAAAUCAGUUUCGUUGUUGUUGUUGUCCUGAGCUUGAUCUUUAUCAUUAUCUACAAACACAUUGUAUGUGAUUUAUUUCAGAAAUAAAUCAUUAACAUU
rnacentral:sRNA from 1 species